UACGUAGGGUGCAAGCGUUGUCCGGAAUUAUUGGGCGUAAAGAGCUCGUAGGCGGUUCGUCGCGUCGGCUGUGAAAUCCCGAGGCUCAACCUCGGGUCUGCAGUCGAUACGGGCGGACUGGAGUUCGGCAGGGGAGACUGGAAUUCCUGGUGUAGCGGUGAAAUGCGCAGAUAUCAGGAGGAACACCGGUGGCGAAGGCGGGUCUCUGGGAUGAUGCUGACGCUGAGGCGCGGAAGCCAGGGGAGCAAACGGG
rnacentral:rRNA from 1 species